UUUCACUCUCAUACUGAUGUUUCUCUAAACUCUCUCUCUCAAAAAAAAUUAAUUUUUUUUAAAUGAAAAGAUAGUUUGUUACUCACAGUUCCCAAGAGGAGAGGGCAUGCCAGACCAUGGAGGGCUAGAUGGGGAAGCACUAGAGUCUGCCAGGAGCCUGAAGGGGCUAGGAAGGCAUGAGCAAGAGACUUUAUUGUACCUUUGUACAGGUAUGAAUGAGCCAGACAGGGUAAGCAGGGUAAGCAGGUUUAGGAUGGGCGAGUUUAAAUAAGUUCAGUGGGGGACUCUGGAGUGUAGAGUUGACCUGAGUCAUCUGGUACUUGGCCCUGGGAUGAUUAGGAUAGAGGAAUUUUGGCUCAAUCUGUGACAGUUUGAUAAAAAAACAAAAACAGUAGUUGGUGUGCUUAGGCUCUGGAUUGGUUGGUUUGCAUAUAAAAGGCACUCUCAAGAGGGGAGUCCUUUGCUGUGUCUAAGAAUUUAUUAGCCUUGAGAGGGGCAGUCUCUCCAGGAACAGCAAGGCCCCAGAUGCCAGAGCAUCAAGAUACAGGAAAUAGAAGAAUAUAGUUAAUCCCUAGUUAGAGUCCACAUGUGGCAGGAAUGGGCAUAGGGGAAAGAGAGCAGCGGUUGACUCUGGAGCAACAGCAUUUAAAAGUCAGGAAUCGGAUGCAGAAUGUGAGAGUGAAGCUCUGUGCACAACGCACUCGAAUUAACUACAACCUGAGUAACCAGAACACAUUUUGCUGCUUCACUUUUAGGAAAAAAAGAAGAAGCAGCAGCAAAUGAUACCAAGACAAGCUCAUAACAGAGACCUAAUCACCAGAUGUGUACGGAUGAAAAUACAGUGAGAUGAGUCAGAAAACGGGUAAGGAGGGUCCCAGACUCUCCAAGAACCAGAAGUUUUCUGAGCAGUUCAGCAUACGUUGCUGCCCGCCAUUCACCUUCCUCAACUCCAAACGUGAGAUUGUGGACCGGAAGUACAGCAUCUGCAAAAGUGGCUGCUUCUACCAGAAGAAAGAAGAGGACUGGAUCUGCUGUGCCUGCCAGAGGACCAGAACCAGGCGCCGUGCAACGUCCCCCCAGAGGCCCAAGAUUCAGCCAGCUGCACCCCCCGCGGUGGUCAGAGCACCAGCCAAGCCACGGUCCCCUCCGAGGUCUGAGCCACGGUCCCCUCCAAGGUCUGAGCGUCAGCCACGACCCCGUCCAGAGGUCCGACCACCACCAGCCAAGCAGCGUCCCCCUCAGAAGUCCAAGCAGCCGCCACGCAGCAGCCCCAUCAGAGGGCCAGGCACCAGCCGUGGGGGGUCCCCCAUCAAAGCUUCUAGGUUCUGGUAACACCAUCUCUUCCCUUGUGUUCCCCCAGCCCUAAGAUUGAGAAGGAGGAGCAAGCCAACCCCAAGGAAGAAGUAACCAAAGAGGAGUUUCAAGUGAAAGGAUGGCCUCAGCUCCUGGACACACUGCUGCCUGACCCACAUGCCCUUGGGCAAGCUCGCCGGUUCCGAAGAUGAUGCAGAGGCAGACACCUGCUGAUGCCCAAGGUCUCCAUGGCAGGAGGGCCAACGGGCAGCCUGCCUGGAGCAUUUUGAAGAUACCAUUCUAUUGUCUUCUGACCUCUAUAAUUGCCAAUGAGAAAUCUGCCAUUCUACCUGCCUUCCAUUGACCCAAGUUUCUUCAAUAUGAAGAUAUAUAUCUUUCUUCAGGGCUAUGAAAAAAAUAUAUUGUACAACCAUCAUAAUGGCAAAAACUAAAAAUUUUCAAGUGUUGACAAAGAUGUGGGGAAAAUUCUCAUAAGUUACCAGUGAGGAUUUAUAAACUUCUACAACACCUUUGGGGUGAAGUCUGUGGAUACUAGUAAAGCAGGAUAUUGUAGAGAACAAGCAAUUAUAAUUUUAAAUACCCAUCCUAGAGAAAACUUGCAUUCAUAGAAAAAAGGAGAUACUAGUGUAAGUUUAAAUCUGUUCAGUGAAGCAUGGUUUGCCAUUGGGAAAAAAAGAGAGAGACACAGAACGAAGUUAAUCAAUAUCCACCAAUAAGAGAAUGAAUAAGUCAAUAAUCAUAUAUUUAAAUAACUAAACAGCAGUUAAAACAAAUGAAUCAGAUAUACCCAUACCAAGUAGAUAAAUUUGGAAAACAAGAUGAAAAAUAUAAAAAGCAAUAGGAGAUGGUAAGUGCAAUAUGAUGCCCUAUGAAAGAUUUGAAUGACUCACAAUGCUCUAGUUGCCAAAUAAGCAGAAACCUUAAGAUCUCACACUUUCUCUGUAAUGCAAGAGAAUUUAAAAAAUGGCAACAAAAUAAAAGGUUACCCCAGAAAUAUCUGUCCUCUUGGAAAGCAAGCAGAAGAUUUGAAAUAAUUACUGGCUUGAAGAAAUAAUAGAAAUUAAAAGCUAUAUGGAAAUGGCCAACAAUAUUAGCCAGAUGCAAAUGAUUUUGGAGAGAGAAGUGGGGGACUGAUGAUAAGCCUAGCGUCUCUCCAAGGUUCUAAGUCUUAGAAAACAAACACAUCUGUUCUGAGUCAGUUUUGGAUCUGGAUUGUAUUGUGAUUCCUGCAGGUUUCUGACAUGGGGAAAAAGGGGAAUAGAAAGAAUACUUCCUCUCUCCCAACCUUCCUUUAGUGAUACAUAGAAAAACACAGAAGAUAAUAGAAUGUUGUAGAAUGUGGAGGGAUGUUAGGUGGAGCGAAACUCGGCGUAAAGGAGAAAGGGGGCAUCCAGAGCAGUCUUGUGCUGGGAGCCAGGGUAGCCAAACACUGGCUUAUUCCUGAAGCUCUACCAAGGCAUGGCCCUAUGUCCUUCAGUGAGCGCAGGCAGACCCAGCCAAGUUUAAGGGGCAGGUAAGACUAUGGAGGCAAUGCCAGAGGAAGUCCUGUUUAAGGUGUGGGGCUGGGUUAGAACAAAUAGCAGAGAGUAGGGAGGAAGUGUAGUAGAUUUAGAUGAAAUAUAGCUCAGAAUACCAACCCCUCAGAAAGAGGAAUCUGGCCAAGUACUGUCCCAAGGCAGCUGGAGGGCGAGGCCUGAGUGUCCUGGCUUAGGCCAUCAUACUCUGUUGAAGUGGCAAUAAAAAGGCAGGGGAAUUCAGCUACACAGAGCCUUCAGGUAGAAGUGUUUCUCCUGCCUCAAUUAAGGUGCUAAAUGAACAAUAAAAUGAGAACCUCUAUUGCAGUGGUUCUCAACCUUGGCUGCACAUUAGAAUCACCUGGGAAUCUUUUAAAAAUCCUGAUUUCUGGGCCUUGUCCUCCAGAAAUUCUGUUUCUUUGUUAUGGGGUGAAGCCACAACAUUAGUAACAAAGAAACAGAAUUUCCAGAGGAUGAGACCCAGAAAUCAGGAUUUAAAAAAGAUUCCCAGGUGAUUCUCAUGUGCAGCCAAGGUUGAGAACCGCUGCUCUACUGCAAACAGUUUCCAACGAUGAGUUAUCUGAGGCCAUUACAUUCCUGGCAAUAACACCAGGGUGCCGUGACAGACUACUAGAAAGAAGAAAUUAGUGGGCCAGCCCCACUCAGACUCAACAAGGAAACCGUAUUUCUUCAGUCCGUUUUAGAUUUUGGCAAAGCCAGACCCGUACUCAGGCUUGCUAGGCUCUAUUCUCCAUAUCAUCCAGAAGGCACACAGUUAUUCAGAGUAUAAAGUUGGGGAGGAGAGAGCGUAGCAUGUAUUCAUUCAUGUCAAGAAUUGGAUGUCAGCAUGGAAAUUUAAUCACUAGACAUUACUGAAUUCUCUAUGUUUGUCUGUUGUGGAAAUAAAAUCCCCUGGAAACUGGUAGAUAACUAAAUGUAAUGUGCCUUGGAUAUUAUGACUAAAAUGUACUAUUAAUCUAA